rnacentral:tRNA from 1 species
AAUCUUAUAGUAUAAUGUAAUUAAAAUAUAUCAAUUUGCAAAAUUGAAGAUAUCAUUUUGGUUAAGAUUU